rnacentral:rRNA from 1 species
GACAGAGGGGGCAAGCGUUGCUCGGAAUUACUGGGCGUAAAGGGCGCGUAGGCGGGAUGGCAAGUCGGUCGUGAAAUCCCUCGGCUCAACCGAGGAACGUCGAUCGAUACUGCUGUUCUUGAGGAUUGCAGAGGAGACUGGAAUUCCCGGUGUAGCGGUGAAAUGUGUAGAGAUCGGGAGGAACACCGGUGGCGAAGGCGGGUCUCUGGGCCUUACCUGACGCUGAGGAGCGAAAGCGUGGGUAGCGAACAGG